GUACAACGUUGCCAAACUGCCCGUCAAUUUUCGCCAAUAAGUUGACCUUCACGACUUCAAAAUGAAUUAAUAUAUAUUAAUUGGUGCUUUGCGAAAAUAGAAAAGCAAGUAAGCUGUGUGGGGAUAAAAUUUAUAAUCCUCAAGGCAAAUUUACUCGGCCUGUUGAUUCAAAGCGGUUGUAGCUGGCAGAGUGGCGGCACGCAGUCUACGCCUUUCCUAUCAUGAGCGCAUACCACUGAAACCUAUACACGGAUAGAUGUAUGUACAUAUUUCUGUACUCGCCCUAGCGAAAGACACGAACGAAUCAUCGGUGUGAUCAAAAAUUGGCUUGUUAAUCAAAGAUGGCUUCAAUUGAAUUGGUAUCUGAAAUUCUAGAAUAUUCGGAGGACUGGGCAAGAAUAUUGAAAUCGAUUUCGAGCGAGACAAAAAAAUCCACAAAGUGAUCACUAAGGUUUUCAAGAUGCAUUCUCUGAAUUUUAGUAGAAUGCCUACGUGGGAAAUGGAACGUACGGAGGAACAUGAAACUCAAAGUCAAACUAAAUUUUAUGGGCGGACGGAAAUCUGUUUCAUCUGUUUCCCAUAUCCUGAGAAAAGAGGUUCACUUCCUUUCCUUGAAGUAAAUUAAUAACUUCUCCUUGGUCUUGCAAUUAGACUCGGCAUUUAAAAAAACUCAUAUUCAUAAUGAUUAUUGUAAUUUAUUUCGUUAAAUAUUAAUCAG